UAAUACGGGGGGAGCAAGCGUUGUUCGGAUUUACUGGGCGUAAAGGGCGCGUAGGCGGCGUAACAAGUCACUUGUGAAAUCUCCGGGCUUAACCCGGAGCGGCCAAGUGAUACUGUUGUGCUAGAGUGCGGAAGGGGCUACUGGAAUUCUCGGUGUAGCGGUGAAAUGCGUAGAUAUCGAGAGGAACACCUGCGGCGAAGGCGGGUAGCUGGGCCGACACUGACGCUGAGGCGCGAAAGCCAGGGGAGCGAACGGGAUUAGAUACCCCGGUAGUCCUGGCCUUAAACGAUGGAUACUUGGUGUCCGAGGUUACAUAGUCCUCGGGUGCCGGCGCUAACGCAUUAAGUAUCCCGCCUGGGGAGUACGGUCGCAAGACUG
rnacentral:rRNA from 1 species